CCGGAGUCUGCGGCUGUGUGAGCUUCCGCCAGGUCCUUCACCUCUCUGUGCAUCCAUUUCCUCAGCGGUAAAUGGGGUAACAACAGAACCCCGCCCCGGAGAUGUGAGGUAAGGAGUAACUGAGGUAAGACGGAGUUUAGAACGGUGUCUGGCACAGGGUAUAUACGGAGGAAACCUUAAAUACGCCUCUUUUAAGGACCGUCAAGAUGAUGGGCAUACAUCUGGGCCCCCCGUCCAUCGGCCCAGCGCGACGACAGGCCGGCAGGGCUGCCCCAGGGGCUGAGAAGCAGCCUCCAGCUCUGCCUGGCGCGAGGGAAGCCAGGACGGCCAGCCUGCGGGAAGGGCAGGGCGGGGCAGGGCCGCGGGAAGGCGGGAUGCCCGAGCCCCGAGCCGAGGCUGGAGGCGCGGGGGCCCAGCGCUCACUCUCGUCGCUGAGUCUCUGUUGCCACUAGAAUCUCCCGAUCGCCGGCGUCUUCACCAACUUGCUGGCAAAUUCUCAGAACGAAAUCUCUCGGGUGUCCUUCCAGCCUCUUUCAGCUUUGUUGUCCCGCCUACCUGUCACUUGUGCUUUGGAACCCCACCGUCUCACGGGUCUGGAAUACGGAAUCGUGGAAAACUCUCAUUCAAGAACCGCGCUAGCCUGCCUCCUGCAACAAGCCUGAUUCAUGAAACGCCAGAACACUGUCCACUCCCUCCUUCAUUUCUCGUGAUGGUUCUCAUCUGGAUAAGAUCUGCUUUGAGCUGUCGUGUCAUUGACUGGAGUACAUUUGUACCUUCCAAUUCAGUGCCUGAUGAGGGGUCUCCAUUUGCUAUGAGAUGCAGGGAGCAUUGAAAUCACCAACACCAAAACGGAACAAAGUCCAAUACCUGACUAAUGGCAGAGCUCGCUAACUGGGAGCCCUCCAAACCCUCCAGACAGUUCGAGGCUACAGAUGGGAUUGGUUUGUUCAUUGGUUGGGCUACACAGUGUUUAGUUUUAAUUUUUGCAUAGUUUUCAAAAUUUAAAGAUUUGCAGAUUUCUCCUAAAAAUCAGGAUUUCUGACCUGUGUUGGAAAGUUGGAAGAUUUGGGGACCCUGGCCCCCUCAUCCUGAGUGGUAACACGUGGCAGGCCCCGUUGGAGAGGGCAGCUUACCUCCAGUUUAUAGGCUCCACUGGUCCUGUCAUCCAAUACAUUCUGCUCAUUCAUUUAUGUACCUAGCCUGUAGGUUAUCACAAGGAUAUUUUAUUUAGCCAGUAGUUCUUUAGCUAUUUUUCACUAGGCAAAAAUGUCCUUAUGUAGAUGUUUCCUUUAACUGUGGGCUAUAACAGAGGACAUGGGUUAAGGAAAAAUAAAGGUGACAGCAGGCUCUGCUACA
rnacentral:lncRNA from 1 species